ACGUUUAGGGAGGAGCCAAAAAUUUGACUAUAUUCAAGUGCUACUCCCACAAUUAGAAGAAGAAGAUACGUCUGAGAUAUGCAACAAGUGCAAUAAUCAAGCCAAUGAAGUAUCUCAAGUUGCAUAACAUAUUACACACCAACAUUAUAACAUGUACAUUUGGAGAAGUUUCUCCUAGUAUAUCACAAGGUUGAAAAUUAAAUACGGAUCUUGAAA